ensembl:lncRNA
GGAUGGGCUGAGCAUUAGGCUCCUGGUCAGGAAACUGUUGGCUGGAACAGUGUGGCAUGCACUGCCUACCGUCACCCUUCUCUCCAUGACCAUGAUCAGAAUAUCCAAUCAGCCUGUAUCCUUGAGCAUUGGAUGGUACAUUGUAAUCAAAAAGGACUUCCCAAAGAGUCACUUCAAACUGGUCAGCUCCAAAUAAGAAGAAAUUCCUGGCACUGGCUGUUCUGGAUUCGGCACUCACUCAUACUGUACAGACUGGUAUGGUUCAAUCCAUGGCGUUUGGUUUUUAAUACAAAUUCCAAAAAGGUAUUUAAAGUUCAAUAGGAGGCCAACACCACUAGCAAGAGUUCCUGAAAUGGCCACUAUAUAUUUAAAAGGUUUAAAGACCAAUUUUGGCUUCAGGCCUAUGGCACAAUGUUGGGGGAAAGACUUCAAUUAAUACUCCUUCCAUUACUUAAAUCCUUUUUGUAAGAUUAGCAAAAAGGCCCUUAAAACUUCCUCAGGAAAACUGUAUUUAAAUAUAUGAAAGCUCCCACUAAGAAAUUAAUUAAAAGUUGUUGAUAUUCUUUUUAAUCACUUAGUGGCCAAGUCAUCUGUUUAUUUCUGCUCCCCAGAAGCAAUGUUAGCUACUAGCUUCAAUUCAAGAAAUGCAUAUUUUCCGGAAGGUUUAUAUGAGAUGCUUAUUCAGUCUUUUACUUUCUUCAUCUUCUCAUUGUAGGCAUUAAAUUGAGAGUCUGUUCCAAAAAUUCUGUCCCACCGUGUAAAUGUUGAAGCAUAGUUUCCAAUGAAGUUCAUGUGGUGCAAAUUGUGAUGCCGAGAACCAGCAUAGAAAGGACUGAGAUUUAAAGGGUUGAGAGGAAUGUCAUAACCACUAUGGACAUCAACAGUCUCUAUCAAAUGAACAGUCACCCAGGCCCAAAGAAGAAUAACAUGAUCACAUAAAUGUAUGAUUCCAAUGAAAAAUCCAGUUCUAAGAAUUAUGGUUUCCAGAGGAUGUGCAUAUUCAGCUUCCAUUCUAAAUGGAGCCUGAAUCUCAUGAUGAAUUUUAUGAAUAUGUUUAUAUAUUCUUUUGUUAUGUAAAAGCCUAUGCAAGAAGUAGUGCCAAGUAUCCUCGAUCACUGCACAGCCAAAACAUCUUGCCAAAAGCAUGUACCAUCUUGGCAUUGUUCCCCAAUCAUAGGGAAUACUGAAAUACUCUGUAAAAUAAUAAGUUCCACACGUCAACGGAAGCUGGAUACAAAAGUGAUUAAAGAGAAGCACUUUAAAAUGUUUCCAUUGGUUUUCCCAUGUUUCUGGUUUAUCCUUUUGAAUUUUGUACUUUUUCAUGUAAGGUAUAAAUUGAAACAAAGAUCCAGGUAAACAGAACAAGAAAUAAAGGACCUCUUGAACUAUGAGAGAUCCCCACGUUGCAAUCUGGAACUUUGUAUAAUUAUUCAACAUAUAGUUCCAAGCAUUUUAAAAUGGUUCCUGCAGAGGAUUCUCAGGCAAAAGUGAAUCUACCUAUUCC